UACGUAGGGGGCAAGCGUUGUCCGGAAUCAUUGGGCGUAAAGCGCGCGUAGGCGGCCCGGUAAGUCCGUUGUGAAAGCCAAAGGCUCAACCUUUGAACGCCGAUGGAUACUGCCGGGCUAGAGUCCGGAAGAGGCGAGUGGAAUUCCUGGUGUAGCGGUGGAAUGCGCAGAUAUCAGGAGGAACACCAAUAGCGAAGGCAGCUCGCUGGGACGGUACUGACGCUGAGGCGCGAAAGCGUGGGGAGCGAACAGG
rnacentral:rRNA from 1 species